AUUAGCUGGGGCUCAAUAGAGUGCUGUUGAAAAAAUGAGCAAACCGAGACCAGGUAGUGGGGACAGCCCCAGGGGCUCCCCAUCUAGAGAAGCGAUGGAGACAAACUGGCAUCUAUAACAUGCAGCUCCAUGGAUACUUUGCUACACGGCAGACGGGGGUUGCAGGAGCCUUGAAGAUGUGACUCUACCCCGCAUGCAUGGGAGCCGGUGCAGGGGAAAGUUCCUGGAGAAGUUGUGUCCAAGUUGAGACCUAAAGGAUGAGGAGCCCUGAGUCACCAUGAAAGAUUUCUGGCCACCCUGCUGAAGAGGCCACAUGGGGAGGCCACAUGGAGAGGAGGAGAGGUCCACUGAUCCAGCAUUUUAGUUGAGCUUCCAGCUGACUCCAGCCUCAAGCUUUAUCUGAAUGCACCUGCAUGAGAGACUUCUAAGCAAGACCAGCAGAAGAUCCACCCGCUGAUCCCAGACAACCCAUGGAACCAUGAGAGAGCCAAUAAAAUUGUGGUGGUUUUAAAGCCACUGAGCUUUGGAGUGGUUUGUGAUACAAUGAUAAAUAACAAAAGCAAUCUCACUGAUGGUGAGUCUGGCUGGCAUUCCUGAGCCUUGUGCCAC
rnacentral:lncRNA from 1 species